rnacentral:lncRNA from 1 species
CAGAAAUAAGAUCUAUUUUUGUUUUCUAACAAAUGAAUAAACAGGUAUAUGGAUGUUGAUCCUAUUGUGUAUUCCAUUCCCAUUGUUUGUAACUUUUCAGAAGUUUUUUUCGUCGAACUACCCGGUUUGCCUCCCCAUAAGAGAGAGAAUUUUCUAUCGAAGUACUACCUAAAACCAAAUAAAUUUUAAAACUUGCCGAUCGCAUGAGUCGUGCUGAGCUCGCAAAAUUAGAAAACUAGUUUUUCGAGCUUCUUGGACAGAAGUUUAUUUGCUCUAGUACUCCACUUGGGGCGCUCUGAUAUUAUUUAUGAAAAAGAAGGAUGGCUCCCUCAGACUG